rnacentral:rRNA from 1 species
GACGAACGCUGGCGGCGUGCUUAACACAUGCAAGUCGAGCGGUAAGGCCCUUUCGGGGGUACACGAGCGGCGAACGGGUGAGUAACACGUGGGUGACCUGCCCUCAGCUCUGGGAUAAGCCUGGGAAACCGGGUCUAAUACCGGAUAUGACUCCAUGACGCAUGUUGUGGGGUGGAAAGCCUUGUGCGGCUGAGGAUGGGCCCGCGGCCUAUCAGCUUGUUGGUGGGGUGANGGCCUACCAAGGCGACGACGGGUAGCCGGCCUGAGAGGGCGACCGGCCACACUGGGACUGAGACACGGCCCAGACUCCUACGGGAGGCAGCAGUGGGGAAUCUUGCGCAAUGGGCGAAAGCCUGACGCAGCGACGCCGCGUGAGGGAUGACGGG